CCUUUGUUGUCUCCGUUUUUCAAGAAAAUAUUGAUUUUACAGUAGUUAUUCCAACGAUUUAAGGAGUAUUAUGAAGUUUUACUAAAUUAAUUGAUAAAAAAUUAUAACGAUUCUCAUAUACCAUGAAAUAGAGCUUAAAAUACAUUAAUACAAAAGUAGAAUGUGGUUAGAAAUUUUAAAACAACACCAUGGAUCAUAGGAUUCAUUAUAUAAAACAUUUACCAAAAACACAAUAUUUUUGUAGAGGGUAACACAUGAACUUUGAGAAAAUUUCAAAAAAUAUGACAAUAUUGCUUUAAUGCUUAGUUGCAUCCUUCACUAAAAUAUGAUGAUGUUCAAAGAGGUUUGGAGCCUUUGUUGUCUCUGUUUUUCAAGAAAAUAUUGAUUUUAUAGUGGUUAUUUUAUCGAUUAAGAAGUAUUAUGAUGUUUUACUAAAUUAAUUGAUAAUCAAAUUAUAACGAUUACCAUAUACCAUGAAAAAGAGCUUAAAUUACAUUACUACAAGUGUAGAAUGUGGUUAGAAAUUUUAAAAUAACACUAACGAUUAAGGCUGUAUAUAAAAAAUUUACCAAAAACUCAAUAUUUUUGUAGAGGUUAACACAUGGUUUUGAAAUUUUUUUAAAAAAAUGACAAUAUUGUUUUAAUGCAUAGUUGCAUCCUGCACUAUCAUAUGAUGAUGUUCAAAGAAGUAUGAAGCCUUUGUUGUCUCUAUUUUUCAAGAGAAUAGUGAUUUUAAAAUGGAUAGUCCACUAAUUUUGGGAGUUUAUGAAGUUUUACUAAAUUAAUUUAUAAAAACAAUUGAACGAUGUUCAUUUACCAUUAAAAAGAGUUUAGCACACAUUAAUAAAAAUGUAUAAUAUGGUUAGAAAUUUUAAAACAAUACUAAAUAUUAUAGGCUUCAAUAUAUAAAGUAUUUACCAAAAACU